GAGAGAGAGGGAGAGAUAUUUAUGUAAAUACUACUGUUAGUAGUCUACUGGUUUAGUAGUAAAGAUUGAUGUUCGUUUAGAUGAAUAACCUAUGGAUCUCAAACUAUUGCAACUCUCAAUUCCCUGCUUCUCUUGAUUUUCUCUCCAUUUUCCAUCGAUCGCAUUGAUUUUGAAUCCUCUCAACUUUCUGCACGAAGAUCAUGAUGGGCAGUGUUGAUGGUAAAUGGGACGAUGAUGAGUAUUCUGUUAUUGGAGAUAAAGGUGAAGUUGGGUUCAUAGACUACCAAGAAGAUAAAUCUGUGUGCAGUUAUAAUCCGAAUGAAGAGGGUCCCAUCGUCAUUUCUGUCCCUUUCCCCUUUGAAGAUCGGAAACCUCGGUCAGUGUUUAUUGGAGAAACUGUUACGGAUUCAAUCACUAUUAAGAACACUACCACCGAAGCUGUGGAUUUAUGGACCAAAAUUUAUGCCUCCAAUCCUGAGAAUUCUUUUGCACUUUCUUUGAUGGAGCCUCCAUCAGCAAAUGGUGGGAAUGGCAGCCGUGGUUUUUUGGAGACUUAUGCCCUGGAGGACAGAAUGCUUCAACCUGGUGAUACUUUAACCGUUUGGCUAAAUUGCAAACCCAAGGAAAUUGGCUUGUACACUUCAAUUGUGCAUUUUGAUGUGGGAACUGAUAUGAUUGAGCGAGUGGUUUUUCUAUUGGCUGAAGAUAACAUAUCCAGGUCUUUGGCUUCGAGAAAGCCAUAUUCAAGAGCUACAAGAAAGAAACAAUUCACUGUGGACAAUUUUGUUGGUGGUUCACGACCUCUCAGGCCAAUGGGCAAGGCAAUAAAGAAAAGGCUUCCUCGUUAUGAUAUUCCUAAGGAGACUAGAGAAAUGAUUGAGAGCAAGCAGAACAUUGAUCUUAUUAUUGGAAGUCUAACCAGACAGAAUUAUGCUUAUUACUUUAAAAUGUUGUUGAUGAUGGAAGAAAUACAAAUGGAGGAAGACAUGAGAAGUUAUGACAUGGAGGGUGUUGGGAUGAGGAAGAAGGGGAACUUCUUGUCCCUUAUGGUCCCGGGGCUUGCUGAGCGGAGACCUUCACUUGUCCAUGGAGAUUACAUCUUUGCCAAGAUUGCUAAUGCUGAUGAAACAACCUCUCCGUAUCAGGUUUCUGCUUAUCUCCAUAAAACAAUUGCUGUUACAUAAAAAAAAGCAAUUGGUGCAUUAUUUUAUAUUCAUAUAUUUUGUUUACUACAAGAGUUUUGUUUUAUAGUUAGGUUUGUGCUUUCUUGUAAAAAUGAAUGUGUUCUCAGGGCUUUAUUCAUCGUGUUGAGGCUGAUGAAGUUUAUUUGAAGUUUGCCGCUGCAUUUCACAGUCACCAUUUAAAUGGGAAUCUGUAUGAUGUACACUUCACAUAUAAUCGACUCAACAUGAGAAGACAGUAUCAGGCUGUAGAUGCUGCUGAAAAUUUAGAGACAGAGCUCCUCUUUCCAUCUGAGAGCUCUGGAAAUAGGCUUAUUGAAACUACUACUCUGGUGCCCAUAACUUGUAGUCUUAAUGAAGAGCAAUUGUGUUCUAUAGAGUUGAUCCUUGGCUGUAAAGGAGCUCCACCUUAUGUCAUUUAUGGACCUCCUGGUACAGGUAAAACUAUUACAAUAGUGGAAGCAAUCCUUCAGCUCUAUAAAAACCGAAAGGAUGCCCGGAUUCUUGUGUGUGCACCAUCAAAUAGUGCAGCAGAUCACUUGCUGGAGAAGCUUCUUUGUAAGAAUGCUGUUAAUAUUCGAGACAAUGAAAUAUUCAGGCUCAAUGCAACUUCCCGUUCAUUUGAAGAUGUCAAGCCUGAUCAUAUUCGCUUUUGUUUUUUCGAUGAUCGUCUCUUCAAGUGUCCCCCACUCAGUGCUCUCACUCGCUAUAGGAUCAUCAUAUCAACAUAUAUGAGCGCCUGUCUUCUUUAUACAGAGGGUAUUGAGCGAGGUCACUUCUCUCAUAUUUUCCUUGAUGAGGCUGGCCAAGCUUCUGAGCCAGAAACCAUGAUCCCUAUAUCCACCCUCUGCCAUAGGGACACAGUUGUUGUUCUUGCUGGAGACCCCAUGCAGUUGGGUCCUGUAAUAUACUCGAGAGAUGCUGAGGCUUAUGGCCUGGGAAAAUCAUACUUGGAGAGGCUCUUUGAAUGUGAAUCUUACUGCAAUGGGGAUGAAAAUUAUGUAACAAAACUGGUUAGGAACUACCGAUGUCACCCAAACAUUUUAAAUCUCCCAUCAGAUAUGUUCUAUGGAGGGGAAUUAAUUGCAAGCAAAGAGUCUACAGACGAUACAACUUCCUUAUUGUCUUUGGUAAAUCUUCUUCCAGGCAGGAACUUUCCUGUUCUCUUCUUUGGUAUACAAGGCUGUGAUGAGAGGGAAGGCAAUAAUCCAUCAUGGUUUAACCGAAUUGAAGCAAGCAAGGUGGUAGAGCUCAUAAACAAACUAACUGCUAUGGGAAAUCUGAAUGAGGCUGAUAUUGGGGUUAUUACACCUUACAGGCAGCAAGUACUCAAACUAAAGAAGGCCUUGGACGAUUUGGAUAUGCCAAACAUCCAAGUUGGCACAGUGGAACAAUUUCAAGGACAAGAAAGGAAAGUUAUCAUUGUAUCAACUGUUAGAUCAACAGUCAGACACAAUGAGUUUGACAGACUCCAUUGUUUGGGUUUUCUUAGCAAUCCAAGAAGGUUUAAUGUGGCUAUUACCCGAGCUAUAGCGUUACUUAUCAUUAUUGGCAAUCCACACAUUAUCAGUAAGGACCCAUACUGGAAUAAGCUUUUAUGGUAUUGUGCAGACCAUGACUCCUAUCAGGGUUGUGGUCUCCCAGAAAGACAGGAUCUCGUUGAUGAGUGUCAAAUACAGGAGGAUUGUGUGAGCUAUGACAACAGUGAAGAAAACCCUCUGCCCUCUGAAGAGGUUGGAUGGGGUCAAGAGUCCUUUCAAUCAGAAAUUCCAAAACCUGUUACAGAUGAAGCUGAGUGGUCUGAUGGUUGGAAGUAGAAUUUGCUCGGUCUACAGUGAUGUUUAUAUACCUUUUAUUUUGAUUUGUUUUUAGUUAAGAUUUUUCCAUGUACUUGAUGGUGGAAAUUUGGAUGGCAAAUAAGAAAUCAAGUUUAGCAGCCCAUUUUCAAGUCUGAGUGUUGUUUUUGCCGUCAUAUUUGAUAGAUCAUUUUUUGUGUUGCUGAGAGGUCACUGGUGCUGUACUACUAACAUAUAGUGAUGUAAUGCCAUUGUGAACACUUGCUAGAAAAAUAUUUGUUUUUAUUUGCAAUAGCUGCUUGAAAACAUCUGAGAUUACACUGACAAAUUUGCCAUUAGAAAGCAAUAGACCAUUGAGUAGAAAUCACAUGCGUGGCUGAAUUACAGAUGAGUGAAGAUAAUAGGACUCAUUCAGAAAAAAGAAAAGAAAAAGAUAAC
rnacentral:misc_RNA from 1 species